rnacentral:hammerhead_ribozyme from 1 species
GCACUGCUGAGGAGUCCCAAAAUAGGACGAAACGCCCGUCCAGUGC